rnacentral:rRNA from 1 species
AUGUCAAUAGCGGCACUCUUAUUGCCCGCGCUGCUCCUACUGCCGUCGUUGUUAGCAGCCACCGCAGUCGCGGAGGGCCGCACCAUCACCGUGUCACCGACAUGUCAGGGUAGCUGUGGCGGCGUUGACAUCCCUUACCCCUUCGGCAUCGGCGCCGGCUGCUUCCUCAAGGGCUUCGAGAUCAACUGCACAGAGGCCGGUGGCGCCGGCCCCGUGUCGCUCAUCGCCAACACGUCCAUCCAGGUGGUCAGCCUCUCCGCCGAUCCACCCGAGUCACGGGUGCUGCUUCCCAUUAGGUGGCAGUGCUAUGAACUGAACGUCUCCGACGGUAAAGUGGUAGGCAAUAUGGAAGACACGAGCUUCUUCAACCACCAGAAGAACAUACCUAGCCAAGGCAUAUACCGCAUCUCCAACAAGCACAAUAUGCUCUUCGUCCUCGGCUGCGCCACCAUCGGCAUCGUGAAGACCUUCGAGAGCCGAACACUGGCCUCCGCCUCCGGGUGCAUGUCCUUCUGCCGCAGUGCCACGGCAGCACAGAACGGCCAGUGCGCCGGCGCCGGGUGCUGCAAGGUAGGCAUCCAGCCAGAGCUCACGAGCAUCGUGUUCGAGUUCCCUAACAUCAGGAAAGAGAUGCCACAAAUGCUCAACCACAGCCCAUGCGACUACGCCUUCAUCGUCGACGAGGACAACUACACCUUCCAGAGCUCCGACCUGCGGCACAUGGACAGAACCCGGACCAUGCCGGCGCGCCUUGACUGGGCUAUCCGUGAAAUGCCGUCCUGCGCCGACGCCAAGGACGCGGCAGAUCAGUACGCCUGCAAGAGCAAUCACAGCGAGUGCGUCGACUCCACCAAUGGGACUGGCUAUGCCUGUAAGUGCUCCCAAGGCUACGAGGGCAACCCCUACCUUGUCGGCGAAAGCGGAUGCACCGAUAUCAAUGAAUGCGACGAUCAAGGGAAGUAUCCUUGCUGGCAGCCAGGAAUAUGUGCGAACAACGAAGGAUCUUAUGACUGCACCUGUCCUCCGGGUUAUCGUAACCAUGACGCCAAAAUAGAAAAGUGUACCUUACUUCCUUCAAGUUUCCCACUGGCAGCAAAGAUCUCCAUAGGUGUCAUUUUGGGCUCCUCCUUAUUAGUUGUUGCUCUACUUUCGACGCUACUGAGGCUCCAAAGGAAAAGAACGAAGGGCUUUUUUAAGAAGAAUGGAGGUUUGGUCCUUUGAGAUGUGAGAACUUUAAAUAUCUUCACAAAGAAGGAGAUAAACAAAAUCACCAAGAACCAAUCAGAGGUCCUUGGUAAAGGGUGCUUUGGCAAAGUAUACAAAGGGAGUCUUCCAGAUGGUACGACAGUGGCAGUAAAAACCUCCAUCAAGAUAAACAAAGUUCGAAAGGAGGAAUUUACCAAGGAAGUGGAGAUCCAGUCACAGAUGAUCCACAAGAACAUCAUCAAACUCAUCGGCUGCUGCUUGGAGGUGGAUGUUCCGAUGUUGGUGUAUGAGUUCGCUGCUAAUGGGAGUCUGCAAGACAUCCUCCAUGGUAACACUCGCCUCUCUAAUUUCUCACUAGACAUGCGACUGGAUAUUGCAAUUGAUGCUGCAGAAGGGUUAUCUUAUAUGCACUCAUCAACAAGUCGUACCAUCCGGCAUGGGGAUGUCAAGCCAGCCAACAUACUAUUAGAUGAAAAGAACAUGCCAAAAAUCUCGGAUUUUGGGACAUCGAAGUUUCUUACAAAGGACAAAGAUCACACCGGGCUUGUUGUAGGCAGCAUGGAAUAUAUAGACCCGAUGUUCCGUGAAACAGGACAAUUAACACAGAAGAGUGAUGUUUACAACUUUGGAGUUGUACUCUUGGAACUCAUCACCAGAAAGCCAAUUGUGUAUGAUGGAAAUCAUAGGCUCGUAGUUGAUUUCUGUGAUGUUUAUCAGAAAGAAAACAGUGGAGAGGCAAUGUUUGACAAAGAUAUUGCAACUGAAGAAGAUACUUACAUACUGGAAGAGAUUGGCAGACUGGCUGUGAAGUGUUUAGCACAUGUUGUAGAAGAUCGUCCAGAGAUGAAGGAGGUAGCAGAACGACUUGCCAUGCUUAGAAGAGCUAGGAGAAGUGGGAACAUAAACAACAAAAGCCCCAAUUACUUUGAGGAAAUUUAA